CUUGCUUGCAGCUCCCGAGCGCCAUGAUCUCCUCGAAAGCUUUCGUGGCUUGCUACCAAAGCGGAAGUUUGAUGACUACGAUUUGGCUACCAUUAGCAGCGCGGAUUCAGGUGAUAUCCAGGAGAGCCAUGAUAAGUUGAAAGCUGCCACAGAUUUCAUUCAAGAGGUGAAAGCUCGUCUCGACGCCCGCGAUUAUCAGCUCUUCAUUGAAGGUCUUAAAUUUGACGAAUACGUGCCUACUGCAAAAGCGCGGAAGAGGUUUAAAGCUACAAGCCCGACAUCCAGCUGCUCAUCAACAUUUGCAACAAUUGAGG